UGUCAAUGCGAUUGGCAUUUAACGAGCUUCAUGGCUUGUAGGGCUAACAUUUGGGCAUAAGAUUUUUGCCAGCACAUAUAUCUGUGUCGCCCAUCUCUACUGUGGGCCCAACUAUCCAACUAUCCCCGACUAUCUAUCUAACUAUUUUGUUGCAGUCAAGCAGGAAGCCUCGUCUUGACUUGGCCAAGAGGAAACUGGCGAUUAUAGUUCAAAUAAGAGAGGCAGCCGGAAGAACUUCAUUGCUUGUCAUCUGCUAGGAGUCUGUUUUUCUUACUCCACCCUUUUGGUUUUCCUACAG